GGCUCCAUCGUCUAACGGUUAGGACACAUGGUUUUUCCGGCGAAGCCGGACCAGGCUCCGCCUGGCAUCCUGGAAAUCGGGGUUCAAUUCCCCGUGGGGUCACCA
rnacentral:tRNA from 1 species